rnacentral:rRNA from 1 species
CCUACGGGAGGCUGCGGUGGGGAAUAUUGGACAAUGGGGGGAACCCUGAUCCAGCCAUGCCGCGUGUGUGAAGAAGGCCCUCGGGUUGUAAAGCACUUUCAGUGAGGAAGAACGCCUGGUGGUUAAUACCCAUCAGGAAAGACAUCACUCACAGAAGAAGCACCGGCUAACUCCGUGCCAGCAGCCGCGGUAAUACGGAGGGUGCGAGCGUUAAUCGGAAUUACUGGGCGUAAAGCGCGCGUAGGUGGCUUGAUAAGCCGGUUGUGAAAGCCCCGGGCUCAACCUGGGAACGGCAUCCGGAACUGUCAAGCUAGAGUGCAGGAGAGGAAGGUAGAAUUCCCGGUGUAGCGGUGAAAUGCGUAGAGAUCGGGAGGAAUACCAGUGGCGAAGGCGGCCUUCUGGACUGACACUGACACUGAGGUGCGAAAGCGUGGGUAGCAAACAGGAUUAGAUACCCCAGUAGUC